GUUCAAUUCUUUUGGUAUAUGAUUAAAGUGCUUCUCUUUAGAAAAGUAGUCUCAAUUUCUGGGUUUUACCAGUUUCUUGGCCCUGAUCACGUGUCAUUUCCUGUUGGGUGUUUUUGUUCUCACUCUCUUGGUAUUUUUACUGUUAUUGGUCAUUUAUUGUUCAUCUCCCCAGCUCAAAUUUUGAUGUUUCAUCUUCUUUUGCUGCUCUGUUUUGUAUCUGCGUGCAGAUGUUUUGUCAAAAAGAAGUUAGAAUGAUGUGUGGUAUCGCUGGUUGAUAUAGAAAUUAAGUUUCUGUUCACUUUUAGGUACUUUAUGUUUUGUUGAUUCAAUUUUGUUUCAAUGGAAUAAUGCUGUUUGUGGUAUUUGGAUGUCUUCCUUUGAAGGAUCUUAAUUUGGAGAAACUGGUUGGAGGGUGAAUGCUGUUAAAUUGGCAUCAAUGGCGGAGUUGAUUGGGCCAAGAUUGUACAGUUGCUGUAAUUGUAGAAACCAUGUUGCCCUUCACGAUGAUGUCAUUUCCAAGGCUUUUCAGGUGAAGCUUAAAGCUUUUUCUAAUUUGGGUGCACUUUGUAUUGAAUCUGUUCUGCGUUUCAUCAAGUAGCAACCAGAAAGCACUGUUAAAAAAGUGAAAUAACAAAAGGAAUGAGAAUUGUAUUUAGAAUUUGAUGUCUGUCAUGGCUUGGGACUUUAACAGAAUUAAGAACCGAAUUAAGACUCAUGUAGCUAAUGAAAAUUGGUUUUGUCUAUUUUCCAUUGCUUGAAGGUGACCUUACUUGAAGGAUUUGAUACGCGUUUGCUCCAACAUUUUUGCUUAAUUUAAGCUGCAUGAUCAACUAUUUCUUUUCUUGCAUCCAAUAAAUUAUCAUAUUGUCAUCUUAGGGGAGACAUGGUCGAGCCUUUUUAUUCUCUCAUGCAAUGAACAUUAUGGUUGGGCCAAAGGAGGACAGGCAGCUAAUGACUGGCCUCCACACAGUUGCUGAUGUCUAUUGUUGUGACUGUAAUGAGGUGCUUGGUUGGAAAUAUGAACGAGCUUAUGAGGAAGCACAAAAGUACAAGGAAGGGAAGUUCAUACUUGAGAAAUCUAAAAUAGUAAAGGAAAACUGGUAGCAGUCAUGCGGCAUUUUGUUCAUCUCUCAUUGUGUUGGUGUAAGUGUAUGGAUGCUACUACAUAUUCAUCUUGUCCAAGAAGAUCUCAUCAAUUGCAAAUAUUCCCUUGUUCUUCAACGUGCAUUGUUGUUGCGUUCUUUAUGUGGAUAUUGUAUUGGAUUGUUUAGUUUGUCGAUACAUUGUGAAUAAUUCUCUCUGUAAUGUUAUUUUUUGUGCUAUUGAAUUUGAAUUUUUAGCGGCUAAGGAGAUUUCUUAUGUGCAUCCAUCUUAGAUUAGUAAUGCUGGUUGUUUGGAGUGUUUUCAUGACCAACUCAAUUUUUUCCUCUCUUAAGCAGAAUGGAAGUAAUGGAGUUUGCCUUAACAUCUACUUUGAUGGAGUAAUUGCAGACUUAUCAUCUGUUGUGAGUGAAAAGAGGCAAAAGCAUGAUACUUUCCAAUGAAAUAAUGAAAAUUUUACCAACUUAAAUGCAGACUAUCUAUGCCUUGGACACAUAAUGAUGGUCUGAUAAAGAACUUGAUGUUGUCGUAACUGUAGGCAAUAGGCAAUUGGCUAAAGUGAUACGUCAAAUAAUUGCAAAAUAUCCAGUUGAGGGGGAAAAAAUCUUCAUAUUAGAACAGCAUGUCUCUUAUUAUAUUAAAACCAUUUGAGAAUUGAGAAUAUGUUCAAAUGCUGAAUGUGUCUGAUACUAGUUUGUUUACAUUGAAAACUGAUAAGAAAAAAGAGGUGCAUGAUAGUGAGCGAACAAGAAAUUUUAAAGAAGUGACUUAGGUAACAGUGUGAAGAAGAGCUGACUGAGGCGCUAUCAGGCGUGUAUUUGAAUGUGGAACCUUUGUGUGCUGCUUAAUUAGGAGAGUGCAAAAGGUGAAUUGCUGUAAAUUUGGUCAGCGUAAGAUCUUAAUUUUUGGGGAAGUUUGGAGACACUUCUUUUCAUAUAAAGUUGCAACUCUGCUUGCUUCCUGCAUAAUUAGUGAAGUGCAAACUGGAUGUUAUUCAAACGAGGCAUGUCUAGUUAUACUCCUUGAAGUAAGGAGGUUUCCUUUGUCAGUCAUAACCAAGUGUAAUGCUCAAAAAUUUGGAGCUGCCAUCUCGGCAAUAAUAGUAAGCUUUGGUUAUUAAAUCUUUGUGGAAAGCUCAUUAUAUUUGCUGCACUUGUUGCUUCAGUAUUU
rnacentral:misc_RNA from 1 species